AGACUUGAGGCUGAUCUCCCUGUGACAUGUCACCCUGUUGAUCUCCAGGGUUGAUUGAGCUGAUCCGGCUGGCUAGGGGGAGACCCACUUCAUCCUUCACUGCUCCGUGUGCAUCUUUCCUGAACCUCACUACAUUCAAAAGAAUCAUCUUCCACAUCGACGAGAACCAUACUUUGGUGAAGGUUAUACAAGUAGCUGUGCUCCCCUGCUAGAAGCUUCAAACAAACUCUCAAAACACGGAUGCCAAGUGGAGAGGGAGGGAGAAGGAAGAAUUCUCCAUGUCCAGAAGGAGGAGGUAGGUACACUGGUGUAGCUGAUUUCU
ensembl:misc_RNA 7SK 7SK RNA